UUCUAAAAAGGAUUGCUGUCUGUCUUCCAGCUCCUUCGAGAACUGAUAGAGCGUAAAACCACUUGGUUGGACCCCAACGAUCAAGUUGCCAUGGGCAGACAGUGGCUGGCCAUCCAGAAGCUACGAAGCAAAAUAAAGAAGAAAGUGGACAGAAAAGCCAGUAAAGGAAGGAAAAUCCGGUAUCAUGUCCAUAGCAAGCUGGUGAGCUUCAUGGCACCUAUUGACCACUGUACGAUGAAUGAUGAUGCCAGGUGAGUAAUAGAUUAAUUAUGUUUCUCAAAUGGCUUCAUGACAGCA